rfam:Alligator mississippiensis ScZkoYb_111, whole genome shotgun sequence.
UAUUGUGGUAGUCUUCCUGUGGCGGAUCAGUUACAGUAUCAGAUCAGCCUCGAACUACCACAUAGAGUAUUGAGGAGGAGGACUGUCUUGAAAACUGUUCUAGGACUUUCAGUUUUCUGUUAUGCUUCUAACUCCCACAGAA